UACGAAGGGUGCUAGCGUUGUUCGGAAUCACUGGGCGUAAAGCGCGCGUAGGUGGCUUUUCAAGUCAGGGGUGAAAUCCCACGGCUCAACCGUGGAACUGCCCUUGAAACUGUAAAGCUUGAGUGUCGGAGGGGAUAGCGGAAUUGCUAAUGUAGAGGUGAAAUUCGUAGAUAUUAGCAGGAACACCGGUGGCGAAGGCGGCUAUCUGGACGACAACUGACACUGAGGCGCGAAAGCGCGGGGAUCAAACAGG
rnacentral:rRNA from 1 species